UCCAAAUUUUGAUCAUGUGACCACAAGGAUGCUGCAAUGAUUGUGCGAAAAAUGGCCAUAAGCCACUUUUUUCUAGUGCUGUUGUACCUUCAAAAAGUCACUAAGCGAAUAGUUGUAAGUCAAGAAUUUCCUGUAGUUU